rnacentral:tRNA from 1 species
UCAGAUUAGAGCUUGAGUGAUAAGCAUUUCAUUUACAAUGAGAUUAUAUUGAGUUAAUCAGUUAAUUUGAA